AAAAGGUUGUUGGGGCCAGAAAAGCUGAGGGGAAAGUUAAGUCCUCACCAAAAAUCCCUGGAGAAAAGACAAAACAGACAAAUACUGCAUGAUCUCACUUACACGUGGAACCUAAAAAUGGCGAACUCAUAGAAGCAGAGAAUAGAAAGAUAUAUAUCCAAAGGAAACAAAAUCAGUUUCCAGAAGAAAUAUCUUCACUCCCAUGUUCAUUGCAGAAUUAUUUAUAAUAGCCAAGAUACAGAAACAACCGAAGUGUCAGUCAAUGGAAGAAUGAGUGAAGAAAAGCAAUAUAUGUAUACCAUCAAAUAUUAUUCAGCCAAAAACAGAAGACAAUACUGACAUUUUUGACAAUAUAGAUGAAACUGAAGGGCAUUAUGGGACAGUUUGAUUCAGAGUAAUGGAGCGGUGGAAAUUAAAUGAGUGCG